GAUGAACGCUGGCGGCGUGCUUAACACAUGCAAGUCGAACGAAGCAUUUUAACUUGAUUUCUUCGGAAUGAUUGUUACUUUGACUGAGUGGCGGACGGGUGAGUAACGCGUGGGUAACCUGCCUCAUACAGGGGGAUAACAGUUAGAAAUGACUGCUAAUACCGCAUAAGCGCACAGUACCGCAUGGUACAGUGUGAAAAACUCCGGUGGUAUGAGAUGGACCCGCGUCUGAUUAGCUAGGUGGUGGGGUAAAGGCCGACCAAGGCGACGAUCAGUAGCCGACCUGAGAGGGUGACCGGCCACAUUGGGACUGAGACACGGCCCAAACUCCUACGGGAGGCAGCAGUGGGGAAUAUUGCACAAUGGGCGAAAGCCUGAUGCAGCGACGCCGCGUGAAUGAAGAAGUAUUUCGGUAUGUAAAGUUCUAUCAGCAGGGAAGAUGAUGACGGUACCUGACUAAGAAGCACCGGCUAAAUACGUGCCAGCCGCCGCGGUAAUAC
rnacentral:rRNA from 1 species